AUUGAACGCUGGCGGCAGGCCUAACACAUGCAAGUCGAGCGCACGGCGGACGGGUGAGUAAUGUCUGGGAAACUGCCUGAUGGAGGGGGAUAACUAAUGUAAACGGUAGCUAAUACUGCAUACCAUCAGAUGUGCCCAGACGGGAUUAGCUAGUAGGUGGGGUAACGGCUCACCUAGGCGACGAUCCCUAGCUGGGCUGAGAGGAUGACCAGCCACACUGUAACUGAGAAACGGUCCAGACUCCUACGGGAGGCAGCAGUGGGGAAUAUUGCACAAUGGGCGCAAGCCUGAUGCAGCCAUGCCGCGUGUAUGAAGAAGGCCUUCGGGUUGUAAAGUACUUUCAGCGGGGAGGCGUUACCCGCAGAAGAAGCACCGGCUAACUCCGUGCCAGCAGCCGCGGUAAUAC
rnacentral:rRNA from 1 species